rnacentral:sRNA from 1 species
AAGUAAUAAAAAAAAGUUUAAUACUUUUAAAUGUUGACAGAAAAAAUAAAAAAAAAAACAAACAACAAAUCCAUAACAAAGGCAGGCAAAACAAACUAAGCCAGUCUCUCUCUCUCUCUCUGUCAGUCAAGCCAUCAAACAAGCCAAGCCAACCAGCCAACCCCUGUGUGUUUCAAAAGCGGUUAACCACUAUUAUUAACAAUCCUGUUCGUUUGUCGCCGUUGUUGAAACCAUAAAAAAGCUCCUUUGGAAAAAAAAAAUAAAAAUCUGUGAAGAAAAUUCCAAAAAUUAAAAAAAAUAAAAAUAUUGAAACCUCUGUUAUCAUCGAAAAUUUACCAAGAAAAUAAAUCAAAUAAAUAUUCGAGUUAUUUACUCUAAUUUUUGGAAAUAAAAAUAAAAAAAAAUCAAAUAAAAAACAAACAAAAAUUCGACGACCUACUCCACGGAUUGCUCAACUUGAAAAUUUCUUUGAUUCUUUCGUCAGUUUGUUUUGUUGAUUUGUUUGUCUGUCUGUCUGUCUCAACACCGUAACGUGUCUUCUUCCUGCUUUGGAUAAUAAUUUUGAGUCGCUCCGCCGCUCAGUCUCCCGGUCGCUGUCGCUCUAUGUCAAUGUUGUCUCUGUUUGUUUUUGAAGAAAAUAAAAUCUAAAAAAAAUAGAUAUUUAAAAACAAAGCGACAAACACAAAAUCACUGCCGAGGAAAAAAUACAACAAUUUCAACUUAAAGAAGCAACAACAACUAAAAAAUCAAAAAACAACAAACACCAUCAUCACUUAAAGUGCUCCGCUUUGCCGCUGUUGCUGCUGCUCAACUUUAAACAAGAGAUAAAGUUCAAAGGAAACACCAUAACAACAACAACAACAAAAACAACAUCGACAACAACAACAGAAAAUCUACAAAUCCCCUUAGAGUUUUGCUUUCUGAUUUUGUGGAGCUCUACUUGAAAAUUUUGUUUCUCGGUGUGUGUGUGUGUGUGAAUAUCUGUGUGUGUGAGAGCGUUUAAUCUAAGCCGCGACCUCCCCAAACACAAGAUUUGAGAGGGUUCAGAAGAAAAAAAAA